rnacentral:siRNA from 1 species
GGCCAAGGAAGUUUGAGG